CCUUGAUGACCUGACAUAGAAUAGCGUUACAGGCUGUAGAUUCACAGAAAAAACUACACUAGCUGCAAUGAAUUUUUUUCUCUUUUUGCUGGAAAAGGUGUAAAAACCUCAAAGUUAAAUGCCUGGGAGCAUUAGUAAUAUUGCUGCUGAGUGAAGAGAUCUGCAUUUAAGGGACUUUGCCGUAAGUUCAACUGUUUUUCAAAUAUUGUUUCCUAUGAAUAGCAGUAAACUUCAAGCAAUUACUACUUUGCCAUUGUUAAUGUCACUUUGCAUUAUGUAUGCAGCUUUAGUGCCAAGUACAUCAGUAACUUGCAUUCAAUCAAGAGUUCAACCUCAGUUCAUGCAUGCAGAACUAAGACAAGAGAAAUUAAUCAAACACACUCACCUCAGCCCUGCAUGACAUUUUAGGUCUUUUUUCAUUGGAUAUUAGAGACAUCCUAUGUCAGCAAUGCCACAUGCAUGUGUCAUGGUACUCUCGUGAACAUGCGUCGAAGACUGACACAGAAGAGAAGAAAUAGUUGAAUAAAGUCAUUAUUUUUGGAACUUUACAGUUGAACCAUUGACGUCUCAUGGAAUAUUUUAACAAUUUCCUUACUACCUUUCUGGGCCUUGAACAUGGUAGUUGCGAUUCCUGCCUAUGCAGGGUCCGAAAGCUCUCGGAUUUCAUCAAAAACAUCCUAAUUUGUCUUCUGAAGAUGAACGAAAGACUUACAGGUUUGAAACGACAUGAAGGUGCUGCAUUACCAUAAUGGAUUCUCACUGCAGCGCGGUAUUAAAGCGUGGAGGCAUAUUCCAAACUCAACGCAAAUGCAACUUGUAAUGCACAUUAUCCCAGCUCAACACAUUAGAUGUCAUUACUAGGGCUGGAGCAGACAGCAUUUCGUCAUUAUCUGCUGAAGUGUUCCACGGGGAAGAGGAAAGUGAAGGAAACGCACAAAUAAUUCUGGAAUCGGCUGUUUUUUUUCUAUCAAUGUCUGUUAAUGAGUCUUUGUAAACAAGAUGAUUAUUAAUUAAUGAUAAAGAUAAAACUAUAUUGCUUUUAAGCUCUGAUUUUGAGAGCUUAAUAUUAAUAUUCAUGUUUUGGUUCCCCAAAGAACGCUUCAGUGAACAGUUCGUAAAAAAAAAAAAUUUUUUUCUUAGGGUAAAGAACAUGUUUAUUAUCUGAAGAUCGUUUUUGCACUGGAAAAAACCUUUUGUGAAAUGGAAAUAUAACCUGGGUGUAAAUGUUCAUGGAGCCAUCAAUGCUAAUAAUGAGUUUUUAUUUUUAAGAGUGUGUAAG